GAUGGUCUGCGCCUAUCAGUUGUAAGGGGGUGUAAAGGACCCCCUAGCCAUGAACGCGAACAGGUUGUGGGAGCAAUCGCCCGGAGAUGGAUUCUGAGACACGAAUCCAGACCCUACGGGGUGCAGCAGGCGCGAAAACUUCACACUGCAGGAAACUGUGAUGAGGGAACUCCAAGUGCAUGCACAAUGUGUAUGCUUUUCCUAACUUUUAAUCGGUUAGGGAAUAAGGGCUGGGAAAGACCGGUGCCAGCCGCCGCGGUAAUACCGGCAGCUCAAGUGGUCGUCGCUUUUAUUGGGCCUAAAACGUCCGUAGCCUGUUUGGUAAAUCUGUGGGUAAAUCAACCAGCUUAACUGGUUGAAUUCUGCAGAGACUGCCAGACUAGGGACCGGGAGAGGUGUGGGGUACUCUCGGGGUAGGGGUAAAAUCCUGUCAUCCUGGGAGGACCACCAGUUGCGAAGGCGCCACACUGGAACGGAUCCGACGGUCAGGGACGAAGCCUAGGGGCACGAACCGGAUUAGAUACCCGGGUAGUCCUAGGAGUAAACGCUGUGAACUUGGUGUCGGGGAUCCUACUUGGGUUCCCGGUGCCGGAGUGAAGAUGUUAAGUUCACUGCCUGGGGAGUACGGUCGCAAGGCUGAAACUCAAAUGAAUUGACGG
rnacentral:rRNA from 1 species